rnacentral:rRNA from 1 species
UGGGGAAUAUUGCACAAUGGGCGCAAGCCUGAUGCAGCCAUGCCGCGUGUAUGAAGAAGGCCUUCGGGUUGUAAAGUACUUUCAGCGGGGAGGAAGGGAGUAAAGUUAAUACCUUUGCUCAUUGACGUUACCCGCAGAAGACGCUCCGGCUAACUCCGUGCCAGCAGCCGCGGUAAUACGGAUGGUGCAAGCGUUAAUCGGAAUUACUGGGCGUAAAGCGCACGCAGGCGGUUUGUUAAGUCAGAUGUGAAAUCCCCGGGCUCAACCUGGGAACUGCAUCUGAUACUGGCAAGCUUGAGUCUCGUAGAGGGGGGUAGAAUUCCAGGUGUAGCGGUGAAAUGAGUAGAGAUCUGGAGGAAUACCGGUGGCGAAGGCGGCCCCCUGGACGAAGACUGACGCUCAGGUGCGAAAGCGUGGGGAGCAAACAGG